rnacentral:tRNA from 12 species
GCCCCGAUGGCGAAAUUGGUAGACGCAAGGGACUUAAAAUCCCUCGUCCUCUGGACGUGCCGGUUCGACCCCGGCUCGGGGCACCA